rnacentral:rRNA from 1 species
GGAGUUAGCCGGUGCUUCUUCUGUGAGUGAUGUCCUUCCUGCCGGCUAUUAACCCGCAGGCCUUCUUCCUCACUGAAAGUGCUUUACAACCCGAAGGCCUUCUUCACACACGCGGCAUGGCUGGAUCAGGGUUGCCCCCAUUGUCCAAUAUUCCCCACUGCUGCCUCCCGUAGGAGUCUGGGCCGUGUCUCAGUCCCAGUGUGGCUGAUCAUCCUCUCAGACCAGCUACGGAUCGUCGCCUUGGUGAGCCGUUACCUCACCAACCAGCUAAUCCGACAUAGGCUCAUCCGAUAGCGCGAGGCCCGAAGGUCCCCCGCUUUCCCCCGUAGGGCGUAUGCGGUAUUAGCCUGGGUUUCCCCCAGGUUAUCCCCCACUACCGGGCAGAUUCCUAUGCAUUACUCACCCGUCCGCCGCUCGCCACCAGGGAGCAAGCUCCCCGUGCUGCCGCUCGACUUGCAUGUGUUAGGCCUGCCGCCAGCGUUCAAUCUGAGCCAGAAUCAAACUCUGA